CCGAAGCGAGGGGACCGCGGCUUCGCUCCAGGCAGCACCGAAGCCCGGCACGCCGCUCCGCGGAGCGUGACAGCCGUGCCUUUCGCUCGGCAUCGCCACGGCGCCGCUCGCCUCAACACCUUUAACUUUAUUUCGGGGUUUUGCGGGUUCGGGGCUUUCAUGACCACACGUACCCCGCCGCUGUAACGCGGCCUCGGUGCUGUACCGCGAACAUGUAACAGAGCUAAGCACGGGGACGUGUUUAUUUCCCGCUGAACGGAGCCACCGGCCAGCCGAGCGGGGACUCGAGUCCUUCUCCCGGUGAAAAUGGCCAAAAGACGCUCGAGCAAGCGAAGGGACGGAGAGAUAAAAUAGAAAACAUGUCAACAUAGACAGAAAAAUGCCCGGCCCGACCAUUCCUCCUCUGUGAACACACGCGACUAAGGGCGCUCACAUCCCAGCCGGUCACCAGGCACGGCCGCGGGGACACAGACCUGGGCACAACUCUGUGAGGGAUUAAUUGCCCCUCACCACCUCACACACACUUUUUCAUGUUGCCGCAUGCCCACAUACUUCUGCCGCAGAAAUAAUACAUGUGGCUAAAGCCGCAGGUGCGGAGGUGGUUGGAAAGUUGUAAAAAGCACCUCGACUUGAGGGUGUCCUGCCUGGAAACCCGGUGUGUUCAAACCCCACGGGCGAAGAUGUUUUUUGCGACUCAAUUUCAAAGACAAGGCUGCAGCGUUCCCAUUGAUCCUCAUGGAGCAAAAAAUAACCUUUACCCGAAACAGUGACCAGGAGGGACUGGGAAGACAGAAAGUGGGAAAGGAAUCUUUCCUGGUUAAAAUGUGGGGAACUGCCUUAGGAUUUCCAAACAACCCAGAGCUGAGGAGGUCACCUUUCGGGGAGGGUAGGAGAAGGUGGGGGUUCAAAAUGCAGAAUAGCCACAGAUUGUUGCUGAUGUUGAAUUUCCUGAGGAAAAAAAUAAAAGCCAAAACCCAAACCACAACCCAACACCAACCUUUCCUGUCUCGAAUCUGACAAAGUAAACAGGAUUAAUUCACCAUAUGAAAAAACAUAAACGCCGUCCUAACAAAUGCAGAAAUCAGAAGAGAAAGCGGUUUUAACAGGGCGCACAAUAUUAAUAGUUUGAACGUAUGAUCGUAAAAAUGAAAAACCAUUGAUACACGCUUAAAAGCCGCCGUAUACGCUGAUUGCUCAAGCAUUAAUGAAGAAUGCCCCAGAUUAACUAUUUGCUCUUCGAGGGAUACAGCGAUAUAACUAUCUAUUAGCACCAUUAGAUGCUUUGCUAUUUAUUUGAAAACACCCCUGCGAGUGGGUUGAGACAGAAGAGAUGAAUGUAAAAAUGAACUGCAGCUAAUUUCGCUAAAUAAUUCUCGAAACCUGAGCGCCUCGCAAGGAAGGGGGAGAUUCUCCACUGUCCUUCUCUGAGGCUAAUGACAAUAGAAAUGCUCUGGUUUAAAAGUGAGACCGUAUUGGUUUUCCAAAUAAACAAACGCAUCCCUCCUGCCAUUUUACUGCAGAUGUAAAUUUAUUUUAAUGAGAGGGAGUGGAAGGAUUUAUUUUGCUAAAAUAGAGUUGGGGAUAGAGCCGGUGUAAAUCUUUAGGUUUCAAAAAGAGAGGAGGAAGGAGGGGGAAGCUGCUUUCCUGGCAGAAAGCUGCCUAACAGUCCUCUAAUUCUUUCUAGAUUAAAUCGCAAUAUGAAUACAGCAUCGAACAAAUACCGAGUUUCGCUCUGAACUCAGUGGAAAGCAGUUACGUCUAACAGAAUUCAAUGAAUUCCUCUUCUCCCUCAAUGUAGUAUGUGUGUGUUUUUCUCUUCCACCACACUGAAGUUCCAUGAAUAGGGAAAGUGGCUCCUAUUGUGUGCCUCUGAACUUCCAAGUCAAUGCAAUUUUUAACCACUGGCUUGUGGUACUUUGAAAAUCACCAGGGGCUGUCAGAGUUGGGUCCUCUGAAAAAUUUACAGUGCUAAAUCAGAGCAUAUGCUGUGAGAGAGGAAAAAAAAUUGCUUAAGAUUGGAGCAAGUACAGUAUCUGGCUGCCCCCUAGUGUAAGUCUCUUAUCUGCCUAAAAUUCAACUUUAAAAGAAAAGGAUCUCUUAAAGGGAAACGACUUUUGGCUCACGUAUGCAUACGAGAAUGAAACUUCUGUACAUUUUAAUCUGAUUAAUUCCUAAGGAUUUAAAAUUAAUUGGCUUGGGCACUCCUAGACCGGACUAUAAGAUUUCUGCAUCAGGGUUUCUGCGAGAGCUGUGCCGAAUAGGUAUUUUUAAGGGAUAGUGGUAAGGGAUGGGGGGGGGGGGAAUCCUGUUUUGUGAUUUUUUUUUUUUAACGAGGAUCCGAGCCUCGCUUGCUGUUGUCAGAGCAAAACACUUCUGCUGCUUAAAGUCAGAUCUACGUCUUUUGCAAUAAUACUUAAAAAAAAAAAAAAAAAAGGAUAAAUAAUUGCCUUAAAGCCUCAGCCGAACUGCCAACCACACCUUCGGAUGGGACAUUCCUCGCAGCAGCAGUGUUAGACCUCGAAUUGAAGAAAAUCCUGGAGUUGAACAUAUCUUCGGGGUUAGAAGGCAGAAAUAUGUGAACUGCUGAGAGAGGUGGGUACUUUUUGGGCCUGCCUCAGCGAUGCCAUAAAUAGAGAUUGAGCUAUCAGGAGGGGAGAAAAAAAAAAGGAGAAAGAAUAAAAUAAAAGCAAAACCCUGGACAGGAAUAGAGACAGACAGAUAAAUGUAUAACUGCAUCUGAACAAUGUUACGUGGCACAUUAGGAGUUGGUAAAAAUAUUUAAAUCUAUCGCAUAUUUAUAACCUCAUAAUUAAAAUACGUUCUUAUCUCUCUCCUCUGAAAGGUUGCAGCUUUCUUGGAAGUAUUUUGAGUGCAUAUUUUAAACUCCAUGUCUUGAAUUGAAUUAAGAUGAGCUGUUUUGCCCAAGAGUAAAGCCCUUGUUUACAAUUUAAUAUUUAACUUUCAGCUGCCUACCCAUCGCCAUAUCAUUUUCUUUAGAUUUCACCUCCUUACAUUUGCAGCCUUUAUUUAAAAUGAUGUUAGAUUAUAUCAAAUCCUAAUUUCUUAUCAUAAGAAAUGAGUCAGUAUGAUCCAAAACAGUCCCCCUGGUCUGAUCGAGGUAAAUUGGAUGGGGAUCUUUCACAUUCAAAGGGUUAAAGCUAAACCGAAAACUUUAAAUCAAAGAGAUACCAGCAAACAGUGAAAAAUGGUACAUCUGCUCCUUCUUGACAAGCUUGCAUUAUAUCACAUGUAAGGAAGCCCAAAUUUUUGAAUCUAAGACCAGUUUUAGUUUUUAAUAGGAAAUAAUUACAUGGAACUUUAUUUCCAGAGAGAACGUCCCUUCCAGCUACAGUGUUUUGCUUUGAUCUAAGUAUUAACUGGUAAUAAAAUAACCAUAUUUUGGAUCCUAAGCAUAUUGAUGCUUAGAGGAAUGUUAUGCUUUCAAUCAAAUUUUAACUUUAGAUUAUCCAAAGGUAUUCAUCCUUCUUUUGUCAGAAACCAAUUUGCUCUCUUGCUCCUACAGCUACUCACAUGUGGUUUGGUAUACUUUGUUAUUUUAUAGUGGAAUUUGCACUAUCGAGGUGGAAAACUUUUAGAUGGAAUGAGAUCAUGUUCCAGCCUGGAAAUUUGGGCUGUUUCUCACACAGGUCCCCAGUCCAGCUCUUCUUUACACUUGUGCACCACAACCAUCGCUCACCUCCGAGGGCGACCACCGAGGCAGGAUUUUGUUUUAAAUAUUCAGAUUUUUCAUUUUUUUUUUUUUUUUUAUUUUUUUUUUAACAUGGAGAAUCAAUCAUUUGGACCCAUCCUGAACAAUUAACCUCCCCUUUAUAUUACAGCCCCAAGUGCAGUACUUUAUAAAGACAUGAAAAGGACAUCCCAGUCAGCAGGACCUGAGCCCAGGCUUGUCACAGAGUAUAAAAGGAGAGAGAAGGGGAGUUUUUAUCUCUUUGCCCCGCCAAUUCUUAAUAGUUCUAAGUUUCAGUGUGACAAUAAAACAGUUUUGAUAACAUAGCUCAUGGGUUUCUCUGCCACAUAAAGUUUUCUUAAUAAUAAAAAAGAAGAAACUUUAUCCCUGCUAAAUUAAAAUAGGGCAGAUGUUGGAUAUGGUUCAUAUUAGCCAGCCUUUCACCCCUUUGCCCCUGGCACUAAAGUUCUGACUUUUUCUUUCUACUAUGUCUGUUUCUAACUGAAAGGUAUUAUUCCUGCCCUGGCUCUCUUCUUCUAUUUAUUUUUUCAGUGUCUAAAAUUAAACCUAUUCAUUUAGUAAUAUACAUUCUAUUUCACAUUGCUAAACGUGGCCAGAGAGGGGAAACAUUUUCCAAAAAAGUGAUGCACCACUGACCUUAAAAGAAAACAUGAAGCAGAGAAAGCUGUUCUUAAAAGGUUUAUUUCUAGAGAAUUUUGUGGCUCUGUUGACAUUAUAGGGAUAAUGGCUGUAUUGCAAUGGGCUUUCAAGGCCCAAGAGGUUUAUGUUUUCUUCUGACCAUAAGUCUAAUAAAAUUUUAAAGGUGCACAAAGUCUCAUCACUUUAGAUAUUUAAAACUAGCUUGAAAAAAUCUCUUGGGAAACAUAUAUUGUGGUGGAUAGCCCCACUGAGAAAGCAGGGGAUAGACAAAAAAUAAUACCUGGAGCGCAAACCCAAAUAAACCCCCCCAGUAUUUUUCAUGCUAGCUCUAUGAAAAUCCUGGCUGUUAAACUCCCAAGGAUAGUACAGCUCUUUUCUCCAGGACUGUGCAGAUAGAAUUUAUUGUCCAUUUGGAAUGAUCAAGUUUAGGCUAAUAAAAGGCCCUCUGUAAGCAGAAAUGCCCAAGUUGAUGUUAGGCAGAGUUUUCAAUGGUGGAGUUUAUACAGGACGGGGGCUCUGCACUAUUUGAAAUAACUCCUAUCCCAGCAGCUGAAGAUGAUCUGACACACAAGUAAAUGUUAGCAGGCAGUGACUGAAGGUUAAUCAGAGCUGCUUUCUGAGCUGGGUGCUUGGAAGCAGAAAAAAGUGAAAGCUGCUUUCUCUAGCCCUUCCCUAUGCUAAGGUGCUGCUAACUUUUAUGAUUUUUUUUCCCCCUUUCCUCUUUUACUAUCUGUCUUUGUGCCUGAGGGCCAGUGAAAGAACACUGCAGAUUCUAGAUUGCUUUCAGAGUUUCCCUUUGCUGAUGAUGGAUUACCAUGUCAAUUUAAACGGCAUAGGAUUAAUUUGUUUCAAUGAUUUCUCUUUAGGCUGAAUGCCAGUCUUUUUUUCUAUCUCUCUCCUUGCUCUGCAGAAAAAAUAAUAACAACAAUAAUAAUAAUAAAUCCUUAAACCCCCCAAACACUUUUGAGAUCCCAUGUUAAAAAGACAAUAAUAGAAAUAGACAAGUUAGGUGUAAUGUUGCAACACAGUUGUAGGUUUGAGUGUUUUUAUCUCGUUCUAAGGGGCUGCAGCAUACAGUCAGUCACAUUAAAAUGAAAUUGGAUCCAACGUUUAUUCAAUAAAUACUUGUCUUGUAGGUAAUCCAGAACAGAGUGCUUUUGACACAUAAGGACUUAAUUUGUCUUGGAUAACAAGUUAUUAAUAUGGCACAUUUAAACUUGCCACCUACAAUAAGGUCAUUUAGAUCUAUAAUACGACUCACGAGAGAACUUCAUAAAGCCAGAAACAAAGUUUGAAACUGCCUCUGAGGCGCGGAGCAGACGCACGGCUCACGGUUUGCUCUUUUCAGAAGAAAGUUCAGAGCAAGUAGGAGCCACCCAAACCCAAAUGGUGUGCAUCUGCUCCUCUUUGAAAGGCAAACGUAAAUGGAGCAAGGAGGGGAGAAAAAAAAAAAAAAAGGAACCCAAACACACAUUUUUGAAUGAGUAAGCUUUAAAGCUGUGCUGCGUCUGCUCGCAAACUCAUCGCAGCUUUGAAAGUGAAAAAACAACAUUUGGUUCAGAGUGGAAAUUCGCCUGCAUUUGCACCCUACCUCUUCCAUGUGCUUCACAAUUUACUCGCUUUUAAUAAUAAGUGAGGAAGUUGGAACAUAAUCCAGCCAUAAAUGUUAUUGCUGUAAUUUGACUGCUCUGUGUUUGUUCGUGCAUUAGUUGUAUAUGUAAAGCGAAGUGUGGAUGGAUGGUGGGGAUCCCUGUGCAGCAUGAGCAGACAGAGGUGUUGGGGAAUUUCAACACCCAAACAUCCUGCAGUUGUUUUCAGUUUUGGGGUGUUUAGUUUCAGAGCUGUCCUGACCCAGUGGUGCCUGCAAGAGGUGCAUCAGGAGGGGAAUGUUGUGGGCAUGCUGCUCAGGACGCGUUUGGUGACUGGCAAUUCGGUCUCCACACCGUGUCCCUGAGCUUUGUUAUUCUGCUUCUCUGUACUAAGCUCUUGGUCGCUCUUGCCCUGGCAGAUUCUGUCUCUUUAAGUAACUAAAUCUCAUUUUUAAGCUAUUCCUGGGAAAAGGAUGUUACACAUGAGUAGAAAAAUGCAGGCAAGAAAGGCUAAUUGAAUGAAAAGAGAGAAUUAGGUUAAAAAUAGAGUACAAUCUAGUAUCACAUUUUCACUAGUGUAACCUGAAAUGAAGGUGUCUCCAAGUCCCCAGUGAUGCCAGAGUGUUUAGAUGUUGGGCACAGAUGGAGACACCUAUUGAAAUGUGUCUGAAGAAGAUUAAUAGGACUUGUCAGUGUUGGGAAAGCACUGCUUUGCUGUAAAUUUCUACUAGCACAAGAUGAAUUACCGAUGAAUGCUCAGUUAUCAACCCCAUCACUAUCAUUGGACACUAAAUCAAAUUGAGCAGUUAUCUACAAUCAGAAAAUUUCUUUUAAAAGUAGGCAUACACCUUUAGGCUUAAACUCUUUAAUAAGACAAUAUCCUCGAUGGUGUGUGUGUGUUCAUGAAGGGAUAUGAUUUAAAGUUUCUAUACAAAAACCUUCUGUUCAGAAUUUAACUCCAAGUUCAGUGCGAAACCUGGGUUGUCAAACAAUAGAAGAUAGUCAGAAAAUGCUGGUUAUUUAAUACAGAGUUCUGCUGGGGGCCUGAUCCAAAAUGCCAUUAGAUUUUGGUUCCAUCCCUAUUUACGAGGGGUUUUUUCAAUCUGUGCUCUCUCCUUAUUUAUGGUGCUGAUCAACACCCCUCACCCCCUUCUCUCUACCUUAAGGACUGAGCAUCCAAAUAAUACAUUGAUGCAAAACAGCCAUCAUGACUCAGGAUAUAUGUACAAUAAUAAUACCACCCCCCAACAUAUUUAGGAAAUUACAGCUUAAUGUAAUGAACUAUGUGAUGAAAGAGUCAAUGAAUAAUAUUUUAACUGAGAAUUAUUUCUUUCUCUCCUUUAUGAAAAAGGAAACUGUCACAAACAAAACUACCACAAGCAUUUACCAGCCCACUCCUGAAGAAUAUUACCUGCAUUUACCAUCUGAUGCUGCUGAAGACAAUGAUAUUAAAUAAGCAUUACAUACUUUUACUUUCUAGGAUUUCUUUCCCUCCCACCCAGGCACUGCAUACUUUAUCCAAGGAGAUUUAUCAUGGCGUGUUUUCCAACGUCAAUUUUUCCCUUUUAUUAGAGACAAGGGCAGUCAUUUGUGUUUAGGGAGGGAGACAGGUACAGAGCCUUUAUCUGAUCUGCGUCCCCAGCCACCACCACCACCUUUUUAAUCGAUGGCAGGUCCCCACUCUGGAGGAUCUGGCCCUAUCUGGGUUACUUCUUAGCCAAGGAAUGCAUCCUUCCCUUCAUCUCCACAUAUCUCACCUGUGCUGCAUGCUGCUUUUUGAGAAGGGAAUAAUACACUGCUUACCACACAGCACAGUUUCAAAGCCUUUGUGCGUUUCUCAUCUCCAGCCAAAGCUUAUUAUUUACCACCCUAAAAAUUUACCAGGAUAAGGGGUAGCAGAAGUUAUUUUCUUCAUUUUUACACCCCAAUUUUUAUGCAGUGAAUGCCCUGCACUAGGACCAGAUUCCACUCAGAUGGAAGUUAUUAACUUUCAGCAGAAUGGGGCCGAUUUCAGCCAGCCACAGCCUGUGCCCUUCGAACACAGUCGCUUUGCAGCAUCCCCAUGUUUAUUUUUUUUCUUUGGAGGGCAUGAUUCUUUAAACAUAUUUGUUUUACACAGAGCAGCAGUUGAAUCCUAACUUUUUUUUCCCCCCCCAAACACGUAAAGAGAAUAUUAAUAGGGAAUAUUAACAGAGGUGAGUGCAGCAUGAAGCUAGUUAGGUUGUAGUAGCUGAGAAAUAUGAACUAGUGAACAUAAUCCAUAAACUCCAUUUGGUUACUAUAAUACUCCAAUCUGUAUUUAUUACAACCCCACUCUGAUGCUUAUACAACUGCAAUUGCUAGAUUUAUACACUCUAAUGGUUUCACAAUAGGAAAAACCUGUGUCUUUAUCUUUCUUUUCCUGUCCAAAAUAACCCCUUCCACAUAUACUUCAGGCUUCUCCGGACCUUGUCUGGGUUUAAUCACAGGCUUUGGGACAAAAUGUGCAUUAUUAAGAAGUAUAAAUAUUUUCAGAAGCAAUCAAAGGGUUGAAAGAUUGAUUCGGCAUGUAGAUUGGAUUUAAUUCGAAGCAGCUUUGUUCUAAUGAGGACUACUGGGAUACAAAGACGGCAGCCGCUUAUGGCCACCAGUUGGGAACUUCGACUCGCUGCAGCAACCUGUCAAGAAUUCCAAGAAAGUGCCAGGAAUUUGGAAGAUGCCCAUGUCUAAGACAGUGGUGAGGAUUGGGCCAAAAUCCAGAUCUAACCUUGGAUCAAGGAAGCCUUGAUUCCUUCAUCCGAGUAACCCUGUGUUGACCCACGGCUGCUGAUGGAUCGCGGACCUUCCUCUCUCCUCACUGUCCUGCAUCAGAUCACCAGGAGGACCUGAGAGUACUAACCAGACAUUGAUCUUUCCUGCUAGCUGGUAGCAUUUGCCACUGACCUUAUAGACCGUGGUCCUGUCCUAACAGAAUCUGGGUAUCAUCUUUGAGGAUGGGGAAGGACUUUUGUCUCUGAAGAAUCCAGCUCAUGGAGUCACUUGGUCAAUUCCCAUUUGCACCCAGCAAAGACCAUGGAGAUGUCGAAUGGUAUAAAAAGGGAUGAACCAUCACAAGACUGGGAUUGGAAAGUGUGGGGAGCAAGCACUCAGGGAGAUGGCUGAUGCAGCUGGUUCCCUGGCCCUGGGCUGUGGCUCAGCUCUUGGUCAUGGCACAAGUGACCAGAGGCCAGAGAAACAUGGUGGGGACUGAUUCUGUCUUGGCUAUUCCUCAUCAGUGCUUUGAGCUGCAUGAAGCCCUGAGAACCAAGGCAACACGAGUGCACAACCAGGGAUUUGCUCUUCUCAUGGUCUGCACCCUCAGCACAGCACAAAGUUCCACCCUUUGCUUCUGCAGCCUGUGAAGCCUUGGGAAAUGAUCUACACAAAAGAACAAGAAGUAAAAGCUGCCUCUGCCAUCUUCUGUUUAAUUAACAUAGGUAUACCAAUUUAAUGCAAUUAAUCAAGAUAGGAGGGAUUAAACAGUAACUCAGCUGACAAUGACAGCGUUAGCAUGGCUGUGGCAUAAGGAGGGCUGCAAAAUGAGAGUGGUGACUGGGAACACUGUGAGGAAAUGUAAGCUGGCUGAAGUUUUGGGAGGUUUAUGCAGAUGUACUGAAAUUUAGGGGCAGCUGAUUCUUCAUGUGGCCAAGUGUUUAUCUGCCCCUGCCCUUUCCUUUACCCUCUCAGACCUUCCAGGGUAAUCCCCAGAGUGGCAACAACUUUUAAAGCGAUUCCUCUUUCUUCUAACAGAUUCCUGAUGCUAAAGGUCUGACCUUAAAAUGAGCAGUGCAUAGGGCAAGAGUGGGUACUGCAGUGAGCUUCUGGCCUUCAACCCUUCCAAAUACAGCUAUUUUGGUAACCAGAACACUAUAUUCAUGAUGGGUGAGGGAACAGAGCCUUCCAGUGCAGGGCUUCUCAGCACAUUAACUCUAUCAGUGCUGGAUUUCUUGGUCCCUAUGCAAGUUUGCCUGUGCCUAUUUAAGACCAUAAAUGCAGCUUUGCAGAGGUCUGCUGCAUUCUGUAACUUCAUGGUUGUGCUUUGCUGCCUGAUGCACCUGAAGAGUGGACUGAAUCCUGUGGAUUUCCAUGUGGGUCUGGGAAGGACUGUAAUCACAUGCAGCUGAGAGCAGCUCAGACAUGGAUUUCUUCUUGGCAGGAGAGGCACAGCCUGGUUUGCUACAAUGCAACUGUCCUCAUUAAUGUUCUUCAAGCCCUGAUGUACUGGGACCGCCAUCGUUGGGUCAGAAGAUGGCUGAGUUUUCCAGGCUCAUUCUCUUGUCUUCAGAAUGUUAAAUUGGGUGAUAAUGAGUAGUAACUGUGUCCUUUUUUAUGGUGAAGUUGACACUUGCCUUCUAGUAAACAGACACAGAGAUGACCCUCCUCAUUUCGCACAGGUCACCAAACAGCCCCGGAGUGGUAGGGGUUAUUGGCCAUUUACCAAACUCUGUUUGACUUGGGUUCAUGGGUGAGAGAUGAAAGGCUCUAUAUUGCAUUACCAAUCCCUGGGGCCAGCCAGUCUCCCUAAAGAAGCGUUUCAUUUAGCAAGGGAACUGCUGGCCAUGGGAAUCGGAGACUUGGGAAAAAGAGGACACAGUUUCAAUUGCAAACGUUUCCUUAGGGCAGAUGUCUUAAAGCCACACAGAAGCUCACUGCUUCAGUGUCACAAUAGUUGCUCCAGGACACUUAAUGACCAGCAGAUUUUCCCCUUUAAUUAAUCUCCCCUUUUCCCAAGAAAACAUCCCUUAGGUUACUUGUGGUGUUUCUGCCUCUACCCUGCUGUUUUGUCCAUCUCCUUGGGGCAAGACCAGUGCAGCACUUGUGAAGUGUUACCUUUCCCAAGAGCUUCAAAAUUGAAACAGAUGAAUCAAGUAGCCCUGGUAUCACACUUAGAGGUGUUGGGCUCUUGUGAGGAGAAAUGAGUAUUCCUGAAGUGUCCAAAUAUUUUCCUUACCCCAGAGCCAAGAAGCUGACUGAUUUUCUUGGUUAUAGUAGAGUGGUCAUUGCUAUUGGGGUAGUCCAAGUGCUGCCUUUUUACAGAUAAUGGUUUCAGUGAUUGAUGGCUUCAGGAAGAAGAAUAUCUGGUUCAGAACAAGAAUUCAACCCAGACUUGCCCUGAAUUUCCUAUGAUAUGAAAAUCCAGUGUUGUUCCAAAUUCUUAAUCACUGAUUAAAAUCGUCUUUCACUUUCCUCCCUUACUGUCUGUGAUGUGACUCAUGAGACAUUCAGAAGUUGCACUUGUUUGAUAGUUUUACAUCAUGGUUGUAAUAGUGCAUCUACCAAGUCAGCAGGUUUUUUUCUGCCUUUGUUUAUUUAUUUACCACUCCAUUCCCAGCAAGUUCUUGUUACCCAGUUCCCACUGACAACAGGGGAAGAGGCACAGGUCAGCUCAGAAAAUGAACGACUAGAAGGUAAGUGAAAAGAAUAGUAAAUGCAGGCCAUUCAUGUAACAGGAUCCAAUUCAUUUUUAUGCCAGGGAGAUUUUUUAAAUGGGACUUCUCCCAGUGGAGAUCUCACAAUGCUCAAGGCCUGUUUCACUAUAAAGACAAUACAUAAUUAUUCUGGGCUUAUUAUUAUUUUUUAUCACUCCUUUUCCAGUUGCAGGGAGUGAGGGCAGAGAUGAGAUCAGGACCCAGUUUAUUGCUGUGCUGGCUGUGCAGCACACAGGGCUGCAGGACCCUGUGGAGUAACAGGUAAAUACAGCCAGGCUGAAGGUUCAGGUGACAGGUCUGAGAUGGGAGAAUCCAUCAACAGCAAAAAUGGGAACUCAGCCUCCUGAGGCCUUCAGCCCUGGGCUCCUGCUGCUUGUUGCUUUCAGCAUCUUUUCUUUUCACACUUAUUUUGAAUCGCCCAAAUGAUGAAUUGAAAAAGUGCCAUGUCAUUUGAAGCACUCUUUAUUGUGUUUAUAGGAAACAGAUUAUCUGUUCUCUCUGGAUAGUGGAAAGUGAGUAUGAUGAACUCAUCUGGAGAAAAUGUAGGUUGGGUGUGACAGAGAAACUUGUGUUUUAUACCACAAUGACAUCUUAAUUUCUGGUUUUGGUAUGACAGACUCAGUGAUACUGAACCAUCCUGGUUCCUGCUUUCAGGCUGGGGUCACAAGUUGGACUUGGAAGAAGAAACUUCCAUGCAGAGAUGUGACUGCAGUGUGAAUACUGUGCCAGGGUAAGAGAGAUUUUGUUUAAUGUGGGGUUUAUAAAAUAUGUAAAGUCCAUACAAAGUCUGUUGCUCACCCCAGCCUAGUUAAACUGUGUUUGACCACUACUUGUUGAACCCAGUAAAAUGUGUACCACAACAACACCUGCUCUAAUUAUAUGUUGUUUUGCCAGGUCAGCCCUUUAGGAUUUAGCAUUUAAUUCAUAAAGGAUUCUAUAACACAUGCCCAGUCGUGCCCCAUCUCUACUUCCUGAUGAUUUGGGUGAUUUUCUCUCCCCAAUUUAUAUUUUAAUUAGUUGUAACACUUCUUUGCUUUCUAAUUUGAACAACAGAGACUUAAAAAAAAGAGAAAAGCUAAAAAAUAACUCUCAGAAUCUGAAUGGAUACUCCUUAGAAUUUUCUCUUCAGUACUUGCAGGUCCUGGGUUAGGUGACAUUUCAUGUUGACUGCUCUGUGUUAGUUCUGCUCAGGCAGAAGGUAGUGACAGUGUUAUAGGUUUCUUUAGAGAUAAAACCUACAGAGUGUCCUAAAGUCCAGUAACAAUUCAAUACCAGCAACUUCCCCUCUGUGCUCCUACCAUUGCUUUGAACCAAUUUAUUUAUUCAUUUAGGCUUUAAGUACUCAGAUGCAUUCCUUCUUGCUGCAGCAGCAGGGGUACAGGAAGGGUGUUUGAAACCAUGCAGUCAUUUCCACCCUGGAUUUCAUGAGGAGUUAUUCUUGUCUCAGAGAAUGACGCACUCAAAUAUCCCUCUACGGAUUCCAGGUGAGUUAGUCACAUUUAGAUGCUUCCAAGUAAUACACAGGAAGGUGGUGAGAAAAUGAGGAGUCUCUGCCUAGUCACAAAAAAAAAAAAGCUCAGAAAAUGUAGAUCUGAGCAAAUUACAUGUACUAGCCCUCAAAAUAUUCUAAAAAGGCCUGGGGUCAAAGAGGUUUUACCUUAAAAACAGUAGGGAUGCACAGUAUUUACUUUACUGACUGACCCAUCAGCUGCUCUCUGUCCCCAGAAACAGUUCAGGAAAUAACUGGAAGCAUCUGAAGACAUAAAAAGGAUAAUUAAGUUUCAUUGUGGAAAUAAGAGGGUAAUCUGUCCAGACAAAUCUAGGACCCAGUACUGAGAGCCGUAGGAUCUGAAUAUAAAAAAAUGAGUAAUUUUGAAAAAAGAUGUCUAUCAGGGCUGUAAAUUCAGAGAGUAAAAAAGUAGCUUUCCUUAAUAGACCAUCUCUCUCUCCAUCUCCCUCUAACUCAUUUUCUUAUUCUCUUUCUUCCUUUUGUGCAAUUGCAAAAAAAAAAAAAAAAAAAAAAAGUGUGCAAAAUCUGAUAUUGAGAAUACUUUAGCUUCAUUUCAAUCUUCUAUUCUCCAAAUGUUUUGUUCCAAGCGGGAAGAUUCCCCCUGGGAGAUAACCUCAGCCACGGCUGCACGAGGCUUGUGGGGUGGCUGAUUUGCAAAGGAACAACUGUAUUUUGAGGUGUCUGUGAGGCAGCCAGGUCCCCUCUCUUCUGAGGCUCUUAAAGAUAUUUGUGAGCUGCCACGAGAAAUCACCUGGGACUCAGAGCAGACCACAAGUGCUUAGGACAGUGUUUUCUCUUCACCUUUUUUUGCUGAGCAGAAUUGCAGCGCUAUAAACAGAUGUGAGUUUUGCCUCAUUCUUAGGUCCUGUGAGUUAUGAAAGCCCACUCCAGUUGUAAUGAAUGUAUAGAUCAUUUUGACCAGAUCAUAAUCUAUUAGUAAAUAAUGCUCUCUGAAAAUGUAUAGGUGAAAUAAAGAACUUCUUGCUACUAUUGCUGUAUUGGUAUCAAGGAUUAUUGUGGAGGCCAACACAAUCCUGAGGCUUUGUGCUGCUGACAUUUAAAUAGAAUGCAGAAUUAACUACAGGGUUUGGUUAGCAAAUUCCCUUUUGGAUUAGAAUAUUCAGGGUUUACACUGCUGGAAACAGAACUCAAAACUUUACAAGGCUCACCUGUGCCUUGGCUUCAGCUCACUGACACCCUCACUUGUAUUUAUAGAAUUUUUCCAUUAGAUUCCUAAUUUUGGUGGUGAUAUUAAUUAGCAAAUCACACAAUACUUUUCAGAAUGAGUAGAGGCUGAUAGAGCAAACCCCCAUAACACCUAUGACUUUUCUUCACUAUCCCUGGAGGAAGCCCAAGGGUAACAGACUAAGACCUAAGGCAAUUGUCAGCACAGUCUAUAGGCCAUGGGAAGGUUAGGUUUAAAGAAGAUGUCACUUUAGGGACAUCUGUGUGACACAUGCUGCAGUGUCCAGACAUUGGAGACUAUGUUUUUACUCUAAAUCUAGAGAGGAAGUCACUAGGAAAAAAAAAGGGAAAGAAGCACGGGGGAAUAAAAGUACUUUUGAAAGAGAAGAAAUCUACAUUUCAAUGAAAAUCCUUUCAAGGCAUUUCAAAUAAGAGUCUGAGAGAAAUAAUUACAAAGUUUGGAGAGAAAGAACGUUAGCUUUGAUAUCUUUUUCUUCUAUGAAGCAAUUAAAAUAAGCAAUUUUUCAAAUACUAAGCAGAAAAUUACUAAUGGCUGAACCCAAAAGCUUUCAUUUCCUUCUUGGGGCCUUUAUUCUUCUAAAAAAAGACAAAAAAAAUGUGAAGGUGGUUUUCCAGAUAGAUUAAUGCAUAAAGCAGUCGCUAGUUGGAUGUCAUAAAAACUACAGCAGCAUAGAAUAGCUGAGAUUAAGAGCUAGAUUUAAAUCAUGCAACAGUCCAGUUAAUAUCAAUGUCUAAUUAAGAAAUGCAUAAGAAGUCUGUAAUGUUGAUUUGAUGGAGAAAAACUCUAAUAGGGUUUCUUUUGGAAUUUUCCAUUUCAAUUGCUGUGUAGACUUUUAAUGGAUGUUCUAUCCAGUCUUUGGUAUUAGCAGGAAUCAUCCUCAAAUUAAAGCCAAGGCCUAAAAUGGGACACAGGUAGACAAAUUAGCUGGUCUGGGAAGCAGCCUGGGUAGAAUGACAAUGUGAGCUGAAGCCGAAAUUUUAGUACAAAUAAAAGAGAACAAACGCCUGAAAUCUGGCGUGGAAACCCUCUCUGCCUCUCGUUUGAAACAAUCUAAAACCCUGUAAUUUGAAACAAUGCGAUGUUAACCCAUUUCCCCACCUCCCUAAGCCUGCAGAAAUCCCUGACAAUUCAUACUUAGACACCUAGACCACUAAGCAUUAUUAAUUAGUCUUUUUUAUUUAAAAGACUUUCCAUAGUUAUGCAUAUUAGUAGUGUGUAGAGGUGGGUUCUUCUCUGCUUGUGAUGGGGUUUGGAGCACACAGGUCCCUGUCACCAUCAACCAGCACCAUUAACCUCCCACUCCUCUCUGGGUAACUCAAUCUCUUAAACCCCUGAAGCAAAACUAAGCCUAAGUGUCUUCUGUGUCCCAUGGAUCAUCCAAGAUGUUUGGUCUCUAGAUAUGAAAGGGGAACUGGUUUUGAGCAUGUUGCUAAUGCCCUGAAGUUGCUAAAAGAGGAGCAGGUUAACUCUCAGUAUGCACAAAUCCACUUAGCAAAGAGGGGAAAGUAGCAGUGGAUUUGUUAUCACCACUCAGCUGUUGAUCCAACAGAUCCAGAGGGAAUGAUCUCAAGGAUCCAGUGGCACACUCAGAAUAACUCCUCUGACCAAUGCAUGCUGGGGAGUGAUUUUAAAGUUCAUUAGAACACAUUAAAAUAUAAUACAUUGGCCAUGGCAAAGCAAGGCACUUGAUUCCAUUGGAAUGGACACAUGUCUUUUUCCAGUACUGAAUCCAUCCAGAGACCUUUCAGAAUGAAAUCAUUAAGUCUUGUCACUUCCACAGAGAGCAGAAAAGACUGGAGGUGAAAAUCAGAAUAACAGUGAAAUUUUAUCACUUUUAUUUUUGGGUCAUUGCCUGGAAUGUCAUGGUCCAAAUUCAUGCCUGACAUUGCUCCAUUGAUCCAUGAGGCACAAAUAGGUCAUAUUAAAGAGUGAUAUCAUGGCCCUGGGGGAUGCCCCAAGGACUUUUCUCCUUAAAAGAGAUGGGAACAAGGAUGUUUUCAGUCAGGCAUCUGCCUUCUCAAUGGUACAGGAGGUCUAAUGUGAGGACACUCAGGCCAUCAGAGGAGUCUGAGGUUUUUUACCCUGCUCUUGACUGUAAGACAGGGAGGUGCCAUGGGUUGGGAUGAUGCUAGAGGGUUGUUCAGGUGGAGCUCUAACAGGGUGCUUUGUCUGCAACCUUUAAUAGAUUUUUGCAAUACUUAGGGAAAAAACAAGAGGAUGAAGCAGGCUGUCUUCUGCAAACAUGUACAACAGAAAAACCCCCAAACCUUAACUUAUCCAACACACCUGAGAGCCACAAAUUCUGUUACAGUUUUGCUAAAUGAGGGGAAUAUUUCUCCCCUCCUCUAUAAAACCAUCCUUUUAGACAUUACUGCAGUCAUGACCUCACCGCAGUUCCUGGAUUCCUUCUGAAAAGAUUAAAAUGAACUAAUACACAAAUGAUCUCAUCACAGCAUAAAGGACAUCUUACACAGGGGGAAAAAACUAAUCAGGAGAACUUCAGUGCUGCAUUUGUAGUAGCAGUAGAAAAAGAACUGUAACACCACUGCAGAAAAACAAACUAAAGGUGCCAGAGAGGCAUUUUUCCAUCCUAUGGACCAUUUGGAUUUGUUCUUCCUGAUCCUGCCUGUCACACCUGUCAUCCUCUUAGCUAUCUCCACAUCUAUCAUCUUUCCUUUUUUCCUGCCUUCUCCUACAAUUUCUCUUGUCUCUUCUGUGCCCUUCCCACCUGUUUUAAUAUUCCUGGCAACUUUGAAUUUUAUGCACUACUAUUCUGAACUACAUCCAAAAUGUAUUUUGCAGAGUCCAUACACACAAUCACCUGACACAGAAGUAUUCACACAUACUUCAUCUGCAGUUUAUGUUAUUCUGGAUUAAGAACACCUUUUCUGUGCUUUCAUACAGUUCUCAGGCCAAGGGGUCAUGGGUGGUGACAGCUCUCAUCUCCUUUGGAGCUGUUGUAUCUUCUAAGAGAAAUCAGGGAGAUGAGUUGGGAGAGAUGCUUUACUUUCUUUGGUAGGAGAAUCUAUAAACUGACAUUUAUGUAAGUGAGACUCUCACCACAUUUUUAAUGUUGUAUCACAUUCUGAGGCUGGAAAGUAGAAUAUCUUGGAACUAGGUGAUCUUUAAGGUCUUUUUCAACCCAAUGAUUCCAUGAUCUUCAGAACAAGAUGAACAUAGUGUUAUUAAUGCAAUCUUAUCUCUCGUGCCCAUAGGUGCUCCUCAGCUCUGCCUUGAGGUGACACCGUUAAGCAAGAGGUGACAAACCGGUUUCCUUUCUCAAGCUGAAUGUCACGUAACAGCCCAGGGGCCCGUCCUGGUGGGGCUUGCACCCUGCCUUUUCAAGGGGAGAGGUGCUGCUGCAACCCCUUCCCACCCUGGCAGGAGGAACUGAAACUGCUCAUUUACAGCUGGGACAUUUCUCAGGCAGGAGGAAAGGCAGAAGGCAUCAGGCUGUAGGGAGGGAUCACAGCAGCCACCUUGAGACACUGGCAAAGAAACCUCCAGAACUCACCCAGAGGAGAUGAGCUCCCAGGGCUAGACCAUGCUGGUACAAAGGAUGGUGGUACCUUUCUGUCUACCCAACAAGACUGGCUACUCCUAAAUGGGAGAUUUCAUCCAACCCCAAAUGUUCUGCAGUUGUUAGAGCUGCUUCAGUGAAGAGAGCCUUGAGCAGUGAUGGGAGUUAUAGGAUAUGUGCUGCAGCAUUAGGAAAGUCCAAAAAGCCCAAGGAGCAGUGCAGAGCAUCUGUCACCAACGAGAAAAUAACGUGAAAAGCUGUUCUAAUUCCUGUCCCCAGCAGCCUAACUGGAAGCACAGAGUUCCCAAGGCAGAGAAGACUUGGAGAACUUGGGAUCUUCAGUGAGAUCUCUCCCCAAACCCUGCAGAUUUACCAGGUCAGCUCAGUCCAGGCCAAAGUUGCCGGGAAAGGUCCUCGGCUCUACUCCAAGUUCAGCGCUCUAUUGAUUGGAAGAGCUAUUUAUUGUAGAUCAGGAACUUGAGCCAAGACAGCUGAAGCUGCAGGGUCUAAAUGUCUAUUCCCGACCCAGAGAUAAAACAAAUGGCCAGUUUUAGCCUAAUCAUCACUUCUGCCUGAGAAAAGAGAAACUCUUUGAGGUAAGUUCCCUUGGACAUAAUUCUUUCUUUCUAGGUUAAAGAAGGGCUGCAGCUAAUACAUAUCCUGAGUCAUAAUGUGGAUUUGCACCUUUCCUGUUAAGUAGAGCUGGUUUAUGUCCAGAGGAUCCCUUCUCUCCCUAAUGCUCACUCAUAUUGUUACAACUUCUACAUUAGUUGCAGGUGUGAAAUGCCAACUGAUCCACACUUCUGGUGCUGUCAGCAGGGGAGUAAUGUGUGUCAAAGGCCUGCUUCUCAGAGGGGAGGUCACCCACAUCUCCAUUUGCACAUCUGCUUUGCUAAACGCAGAACUCUGGAGGUUUGAAAAGCUCCAGUGUGCACAAAAUGGGAUGUGAUCACUGGGGGCAUGCAGAAGGAGCUGCUUGUGCCUGUCAUUUGGUGGGCAGGACACAGAAUGUUCCCUCUGUACAAAAUUCCUCCUGCAUUACAGCAGGUGAUGUUUUACUUGCAAGUUCUGUAUUAAUGAGGAAAAAAACUACUCUUCCACGAGGAGAUGGAUACCAAGAGGUUAAAAAAAGAGCCUCACACAUUCAGCAGCUUCAGAAAGAUGCUAAUAUUCAGCAUGUCCCUGCUUGGAGUGUGCAGCCACCAAGAUGAGGAAAGUGCCAGCUCAGAGCUCCUGGAGGGACCGUGCUGCUGGAGCCUGCCUCACACAGAGGCAUCCUGCUUCGGUUCUGAGGGCUUCCAGAGGAGCUUUCAAAUGUUUCUAUUUCCUGCUGUUAGUGGAUUUUUUUCAUACCUUGGAGUAAGUCUUCUGAUGAUAAUGUGUUUGCAGUUGAUGCCUAGAUAAUAGUUCUUGCUCAGGGGACCUCUGAUACACAGUAUUUUAUGCUUUCUUCGUUUUAUAUGAGAUCAAAACUCGUCCCAUAUAUACAUAUAUGCCUAAUUCUUUCUUGAUUCCUGCUAGAAUUUAGAAUAUGCCUCAGUAUCUGCCAUAAGGAUGUCCACAAGUAAUCUAUACAGAAUAUUUUUUGGUCUUAAUAUAUUUGGCCUUUUAUAAAUAUAUGUCAUAUGUUUAUGACAUCAUGAUUCUGGUUACUCUGCACUAAUAGGACUUUUUAAACACAUGCCUCCAAGCAUCAUUCACCACUAUGUACUGUAUUAUCCUCUCUCAGUUGAGUAUUUCAAAAUAUUUUUUGGGGGGUGAUAGUAAAAACAAUAUUGACCUUUUUUAUCCAAAAUGAGAAAACAGGGACUUGGUCAUCAGCUGUAUGCUGAUGUUAUAUGGCUGUAACAUCAUGUUACAUUGAAUUUAGGCCUUGUAUCUUCACAGUAACUUAGGCAGAAUUGAAGAAAAGUGAUUUCUAAAGCCCAAAGCAUAGUGGGGAGAGUCAUGAACUGAGCACAUAGGUCAGAGCAUGUUCCAUGAACACCUGAAAUUCCAGCCCUGAGCCUCUGCUGCUCAUAAUGGACAUCUCUUUAAGGAAGCUGUUGAAAAUAAUUUUCACAGGAAUCAGAAGAGAUUCAUGUUUAUUACUGAGGAAGGAGAGCCCUUGCAUUUUAAAGAAAAGUUUGUUUCUGGAAAAUGCUCCGUUAUAGAAGACAGAGUGGCUGUUUGGCUCUUUGUGGAAAUGUCUGUUGAAUUCAGAGGUGGCCUUUCCCCUGAAAUUUACACCAGAAAUUCAGAAAUUUCAUCUUUGAUCUGAACAGCUUCCUUACUUUCCUGAGUAAUAGGAGUGACAUUGGUUUUCCUGGGCUGUAUGUUAUAGACAUAAAAGACCCAUGAAAACAAAUGGAGAAAGGGAUACUGAUUUUCUUGGAAUGAAAUACAGAAAAUUUGGGCUUGGAAAACAUUUGAGUAUAAUAUGCCGAAAGUUUAAAGAAGCAUUUUUAAAGAAACAUUUUCCGAGAGCAUGCCUGUUAGUUUUAUCUUUAUUUUUUGCCAUGUAUAAUUAUGAGAAACACACACAACUCAUAAGAUCUUUUAGUUUCUGUUGAGAAUUGCCUUCUCCAAGAUAAUUCUGUACAUAUUACUUUAGCCCACUGGGUAUCAUGUAGGGAAGGUGUAAGAUUAUGCACAUGAAUAUUUCUGUCUACCACUUAUGCGUGCUGAGACAAUAUCAACUUAUACUUUCUCCUGUCAUUGGUCCUUAUUCCAUAGAGGGUGUUCUUAAUUACCAGCAAGACAAUUUGGUAAUAUCAUGUAAAGUUUAACAGCAUAAUUUCUGUGAUGAUUUACACCUGCUAAGGAUCUGAAUACUGGAUUUUAAAAUAUAUUUUAAGUUUAGAAGAAAGAGUAUUUUUUCUACAAGAUAUUAUUUCUAUUUUUAGUAGAAAUACUCUCAUUUAUUUAACUUAUUGGCACAGUUCUUCUAAAUGAAAUGGAGCUUUUGAACAUGAAGACACCAUUUUUACACAUUUUCACUGCCCUGAAAAAUUUAGAGCACACUUCUGUACUGGAUUAAAUCAACUCGAGUCUAAAUGCCUAAACACUAUUUUUGACAACUGUGCAUGAGGGACGUGCCUGUACAGGGAUUCUAAAGAAUAAAAAAACCUAAAAAUAUCUCAGCUGCAAAGAAAAUUCCCUGUAUUCCUUCUUACACUUCGUAAUAGUGGCUAUAUAUAAUAUAUAUAUAUUUUAACCCUCACAGGUUUAUCCCUAAUUCUGUUGGAAAUUAUUGAAAUAAUUACAUUGACUUUAGCAAACUCUGUUUCCUACUGUAUUAAAGGCAAUAUUUGUGCAUCAGAUUUGCUGGUGAUGUCCCACUAAUGAUACAGGUAAUUUUAUCAACAUGUCAGGGAGGGUAAGUGCCCAAUAUAAAGGUGUCAGAGAUCCACAAAUUACAGUCUAUUUGUAAUGGAAAUAAAACCAGGAAUUCUUACUAAGAAUCAUGAAUUUCUUUAUAAUUGGUUCCACAUUUGGGCCAACUUUUUCCUAGAUUGUCUACAGAAACCCUGCAAUUCUUGGGGCUUCUGAUGGCAGUUAUGAUCACAACAACACAUCUCAUUUCUGAUAAAAAUUACUUACUUUGGGAAGGAUUUUCUUGUUCUCAAAUUGCUUUUCUUUAGUCUUUAUCUACAACUAUUUUCUUAUCCUCCUCCUCAUUUUCUAUUUCUAAUAUAAAAACAGGAGUCCUCAUCAAUUUAGAAGAGCAAUAAAACUAAAGAAAAUCCAGGCAGAACUGUUGAGCAUGGUCUAUUUUAAAGUUCCAACUCAGAUAAAAAGACUCUGGUUUGUGCUGAACCUCACUCAUUGACUCAGUUUUCCAUAGUGCAUUCAGUGUUGUAAUAAUGCAAAUCAAAUACAAUUUUAAUAACUCCUUCCAUUAAUGUUUUAAGACUGCAACACUUAUGAGCAUGAUUCUAAUUGCAUGAUUUUGCUACAGGCAAGUUUUAUAGAUCUGCCUGAUCUUUGGAUAUUUGCACCGUUUGGAUUAUUUUAAAUAAUUAAUUUUUGGAAGCAUUUCAGUCUCAGUAACAACAGUUGGGUUUGAUAGUGGUUGUCUUGUCAGUAAUUGUAUGUAUCUGCUUCCAUGCCAGGAUAAACUAGAUAAAUUUAGAACUCUUUGGAAGGAGGUGGCUGAGGUUUAUUCCAUGGCAAAUGUUAUGGACAACCUUCUUAGGAGGGGAAUAUUUAUAGACUGUGUUAAUACAAGGAGCAAAAGAGGUUUAAAGUGAAUAAAAUUCUAUCAUGCAGCACAAUUAGUUAAUUAAAUUGCAGGACUUUCUGCCAAAAGAAUACCAAAAAUAUAAUCAACUUAGGAUACCAUUAAACAUUCUUGUUUUAUACAA